AACUGGNGUCUAAUACCGGAUACGACCAUCUGGCGCAUGUCAUGGUGGUGGAAAGCUUUUGUGGUUUUGGAUGGACUCGCGGCCUAUCAGCUUGUUGGUGGGGUAAUGGCCUACCAAGGCGACGACGGGUAGCCGGCCUGAGAGGGUGACCGGCCACACUGGGACUGAGACACGGCCCAGACUCCUACGGGAGGCAGCAGUGGGGAAUAUUGCACAAUGGGCGNAAGCCUGAUGCAGCGACGCCGCGUGAGGGAUGACGGCCUUCGGGUUGUAAACCUCUUUCAGUAGGGAAGAAGCGAAAGUGACGGUACCUGCAGAAGAAGCGCCGGCUAACUACGUGCCAGCAGCCGCGGUAAUACGUAGGGCGCAAGCGUUAUCCGGAAUUAUUGGGCGUAAAGAGCUCGUAGGCGGUUUGUCGCGUCUGCUGUGAAAGACCGGGGCUCAACUCCGGUUCUGCAGUGGGUACGGGCAGACUAGAGUGCAGUAGGGGAGACUGGAAUUCCUGGUGUAGCGGUGAAAUGCGUAGAA
rnacentral:rRNA from 1 species